rnacentral:rRNA from 1 species
UACGUAGGGGGCAAGCGUUGUCCGGAUUUAUUGGGCGUAAAGAGCGUGUAGGCGGCCAGGUAGGUCCGUUGUGAAAACUCGAGGCUCAACCUCGAGACGUCGGCGGAAACCAUCUGGCUAGAGUCCGGAAGAGGAGAGUGGAAUUCCUGGUGUAGCGGUGAAAUGCGCAGAUAUCAGGAGGAACACCAAUGGCGAAGGCAGCUCGCUGGGACGGUACUGACGCUGAGACGCGAAAGCGUGGGGAGCAAACAGG